CCCCAGCAGCAGAGAGCAGACUCCCCUGGACCCAGCUGUGUCUCCCUGAAGAGUGACCGGUCUAUGGAACUUCCGUUAAAGUUUAAAGCUGGAUAUAAGACUAUUCGGAAGAGAAGACCCCAGCAGCAGAGAGCAGACUCCCCUGGAUCCAGCUGUGUCUCCCUGAAGAGUGACCGGUCUAUGGAACUUCCGUUAAAGUUUAAAGCUGGAUAUAAGACUAUUCGGAAGAGGUGAGGAUUUAUCAGAGAUUAUAAAAAUACAUAAGUAUUUUUAUAAGUGCCGCACAUAAGUGUGCGGCACUAUAUACUACAUCCCGUUUCUCAACAUGAAAGCUACACUUCACUCUUAUUGUAAUAAACUUCUCUUUAUAACUGAA